rnacentral:rRNA from 1 species
AACGAACGCUGGCGGCAUGCCUAACACAUGCAAGUCGAACGAGAUCCUUCGGGGUCUAGUGGCGCACGGGUGCGUAACGCGUGGGAAUCUGCCCUUAGGUUCGGAAUAACAGUUAGAAAUGACUGCUAAUACCGGAUGAUGACGUUAAGUCCAAAGAUUUAUCGCCUGAGGAUGAGCCCGCGUAGGAUUAGCUAGUUGGUGUGGUAAGGCGCACCAAGGCGACGAUCCUUAGCUGGUCUGAGAGGAUGAUCAGCCACACUGGGACUGAGACACGGCCCAGACUCCUACGGGAAGCAGCAGUGGGGAAUAUUGGACAAUGGGCGCAAGCCUGAUCCAGCAAUGCCGCGUGAGUGAUGAAGGCCUUAGGGUUGUAAAGCUCUUUUACCCGAGAUGAUAAUGACAGUAUCGGGAGAAUAAGCCCCGGCUAACUCCGUG